GCGGGAGUCGUUCAAUGGUAGAGCGCCAGCUUCCCAAGCUGGUUUUCGCGGGUUCGAUUCCCGUCUCCCGCUCCA
rnacentral:tRNA from 1 species